rnacentral:rRNA from 1 species
UAAGGAAUAUUGGUCAAUGGACGCAAGUCUGAACCAGCCAUGCCGCGUGAAGGAUGAAGGUCCUCUGGAUUGUAAACUUCUUUUAUCUGGGACGAAAACGGGAUUUUUAUCUCAAUUGACGGUACCAGAGGAAUAAGCACCGGCUAACUCCGUGCCAGCAGCCGCGGUAAUACGGAGGGUGCGAGCGUUAUCCGGAUUUACUGGGUUUAAAGGGUGCGUAGGUGGGCUUAUAAGUCAGUGGUGAAAUCUCCGAGCUUAACUUGGAAACCGCCGUUGAUACUAUAGGUCUUGAAUUAUCUGGAGGUAAGCGGAAUAUGUCAUGUAGCGGUGAAAUGCUUAGAUAUGACAUAGAACACCAAUUGCGAAGGCAGCUUACUACAUAUAAAUUGACGCUGAGGCACGAAAGCGUGGGGAUCAAAC